CUGAGUGCCUGGUUCAGACUCCUCUGUGUGCCACUCCCCUACGGCACCACCCUCCAGUUCCUGCCGCAGUGGAUGUCCAAUCCCAGGGACCAUGAGAGUUUCAGAGUGACCAUAAGCCUUUGGGCAUGCUUUCUCGAUUUUGAUGAGCACUGACCAUUCAAGAUUCAGCUUCACCAUCUGUUCAUAGGACAACAGUGACAUCUCCAAGUCUGUGUGAAGAUGCGUUGGACUGAUUCUUACAGAAUAUGACUUCCAUAAUAGAUAUUCCUGAUUGCCUUGGAAUCAUGCAGCCAUGAGCUCUUCUGUGCACUUCUGGAUAGUCCUCUAUAUUGACUUGAAGCCCAUUUUGCUGUUACUUCCCGGGGACCGAUCACUGUCAGCCCACAGAAUGUGGAGUCAGCUAGACUGUUCUCUGUCUUUUUCAUACAGUGCUUUUAACCCAUAUCUAGACAGAGGGCCAACCCUAGCACAGCUCUAAAAAUGAGGAUAUUGAUGUCAAUGGCACAUAUGAUGUUGAGAAUAACACUUACAUGGUACAUUUCAAGUCUGCUGGGCAUGCGCUCAGGGAUAGCAUAUGUAGCUAGUGUUUGUGAUACCUUGGGUUACAUCAUUGGCGUAACAAAAACAAGCAAACAAACAACCCAAAAUAGUCAAAGUCAGUUGCUUCUGGGAAGGUGAGAUAUUUGAAUUUUGAUUGAACUUAAAAUAUUUCUUAUUUUAAAUUUAAUUAUUCAAGUUCAAGUUAUUUACAUAUCUAAAUCAUAAAUAAACAAUAGAAAUGUAGUAACUACUGCAAACAUCUGAAAAAUUGAAGUCAGUACAGUUUGGAAUAGGAGAUUUGGAAGGGACAUCUUGAAUCAAAUCUAAACCCCUGUAUAGGUGAAGGCUCUGGGGUUCAUGCCUGAUGAUCUCAUGCAUGGGCAAGAUUGGAGAGGCACAGUCCAGGGAAUGGCAGACAAAAUCACAUACAAUCAAGAAAACACACAAAAAUUUUAUUUGUUCUCCUAGAAAAUGGGGCAAAAGGGCUUACAGAGGUAUUUGCUGUGAUGCUUUCAGGUAGAUAAGCCAUGGAACUCUGUCCUCACAGGGAUAUCUGUCUCUGCCAAUUUGUCAGUAAAUAUUUAUGAAAAAGACACAGACAUGAUCAAAACAUAUUUCUUCCUAUUUGAAAGAAGAACAGAUAAUAAUGUAUAAAAUGAUUUAACUAAUUUUAGAUACUGCUAAGCACCAGUCAGAAGUCAGAUCACGUCACAUUUUCAUUGAAAACCAAACAGUGAAUCUUAAUAUAAAAUAGACAUUUGAGUUUUGCCAUCAUCAUAAAAGGACCACGUUAUGGAAUAUUAGUUUAAAAUAUGUUACAUUUAUUUGCACUGUGGAAUAUUUGUUUAAUGAUGUGUUGCAUUCUUUAAUGUUGUAUUUUUUUAACUCUGAAACUGUUAUUUUGCCUCCCUAAAACAUCUGAUUGGUCUAAUAAAGAGCUGAAUGGUCACUAGCUAGGCAGGAGAGGGAGGGGUAGGUGAGACUGCCAGGCAGAGAUAAUAAAUAGAAGGAGAAAAAGAAAGGGGGGGCAAGUAAAGGAGGAGAGAGGAUGCCAGGGGCCAGCCACCCAGCCACACAACCAGCCAUGGAGUAAGAAGGAAAGA